GACGAACGCUGGCGGCGUGCUUAAUACAUGCAAGUCGAACGGAAAGGCCCUGCUUUUGUUGCGUUCUCGAUUGGCGAACAGGUGUGUAACACGUGUGUAACCUGCCCUUGACUUUGUGAGAACUUCUGGAAACUGGGGCUAAUAUCGCAUAUGAUCUCCUGCUGCAUGUUGUUGGUUGGUAAGUUUCGGCGGUUGGGGAUGUAAUCGCGGCUUAUCAGCUUGUUUGUGGGGUAGUGGCUUACCAAGGCUUUGACGGGUAGCCGGCCUGAGAGGGUGACCGGCCACAUUGGGACUGAGAUACGGCCCAGAAUCCUACGGGAGGCAGCAGUGGGGAAUAUUGCACAAUGGGCGGAAGCCUGAUGCAGAAACGCCGCGUGCGGGAUGACGGCCUUCGGGUUGUAAACCGCUUUCGCCUGUGACGAAGCGUGAGUGACGGUAAUGGGUAAAGAAGCCCCGGCUAACUACGUG
rnacentral:rRNA from 1 species